GAUGAACGCUGGCGGCGUGCCUAAUACAUGCAAGUCGAGCGAACGGACGAGAAGCUUGCUUCUCUGAUGUUAGCGGCGGACGGGUGAGUAACACGUGGAUAACCUACCUAUAAGACUGGGAUAACUUCGGGAAACCGGAUCUAAUACCGGAUAAUAUUUUGAACCGCAUGGUUCAAAAGUGAAAGACGGUCUUGCUGUCACUUAUAGAUGGAUCCGCGCUGCAUUAGCUAGUUGGUAAGGUAACGGCUUACCAAGGCAACGAUGCAUAGCCGACCUGAGAGGGUGAUCGGCCACACUGGAACUGAGACACGGUCCAGACUCCUACGGGAGGCAGCAGUAGGGAAUCUUCCGCAAUGGGCGAAAGCCUGACGGAGCAACGCCGCGUGAGUGAUGAAGGUCUUCGGAUCGUAAAGCUCUGUUAUUAGGGAAGAACAUAUGUGUAAGUAAAUGUGCACAUCUUGACGGUACCUAAUCAGAAAGCCACGGCUAACUACGUG
rnacentral:rRNA from 1 species